UACAGGUAGAGCUCUGUUGAGUUUUCAGGCUUUGAUAAAUUUGUAGUUCCCCGUCUGCCAUGUUUGAAGUUCUUUGCAGUCUCUGUCCAUAGGUUUCACCUGAACAACCCCUCUGCUGGCCGAGAAAAGGAACUACCACUGGUUUCUCCCACACCCAGCCCCCGGAGCCCGCUCGCUUCAAGGCGUUAUGGCCGCACCCAAAGUGGGAGGGAGACACGCAGGGAGAGAGAGCGUGUUCUCCUGAAGGAGGGAGAGAGUCACAGGGAGACACGCAGUGGAUAUUCACAUUAUGGCUAAUUUGUUUUUCUUUAAGUUUAUUUUUAUUUUUUUUAUUUUUUUUUGUCUUCCUAGGACAACAGUAAUGAUAAUCUAAUGCAAUUGGACUAAAGAAGUUUCCCUGAGGUGUAUCUUUUACGCACACACACGCUGCAUAGGGCAGAAGCGGCUGAAGACUCUGUCUCCAUCCCUCCACCUUGCGAUCUAUACCACCAUAUAGGUGGGGAUUGAUCGUAUCCCAGGUACGGCAUCCUGCAGCGAGCCAGUAUGGAAGGCUGGUUAGCCAACGACGGGUAAGAUCCCACCUUGACACCCGGGACGACCUAAGGCAGGCACAGUCACGAUUACUUGGCAAAGUCGCUGUGGGCACUGGCUUACUUGAUCAUGAAGUCACAAGCUGCAACAAUCAUAGGAAGUGCCGGGUGGGGUGUAGGGUGGAGGAGGAACAGGAGUCAGAUAUGUCAGCUCUUGCAUCAGAGGUGGUCUUGGAACGGGGCAUGUCGCGUUUUAUUUUAUUUUAUUUUACCUUUGUGGUAUAGAAGGCCACUAACGCAUGUAAGUUUUUUCGGUUUAGUGCAUGACUUUGGAACAGCGUGGUUUCAGGCGGCUGAUGGUAAACCCACCCAUAUUGGGCUUUGGAUUUGGACAUACUGGUUUCGAUUUCCCUUCCCAAAAGAUUGUCUUUAAUUUGCUGAUGGUUAAGGUUAGACGUUUCGACGUUGGUUGCACCGACGGCGUUCUUAGAUUUGCUUAUCAUUUAAUGCGCAUGGUUUUGACCAUUGCGCAAGGGGGGAGGUAUUGAGGAGAAUUAAAAAAAAAAUUAGAAAACAAGGUUUUUCUUCACCAUACUUGCAAACAAUGAUUGACAUCCAGCUGAAUGAGUGUUAAAUAUUUGAAAAAAGUGUUCAACAGAUGGGUAGAAGCAGUCCCAUCAAAAGACCAAAGUGCGACUACAGUAAUCAAGUUUCUGACUGGAGAAGUCAAGACAAGGUUUGGAAGUCCGUCAGAAAUAAGGUCAGACAAAACGUUUAUUCAGAGAACACUCAAACAUGUGAUUCAACAUUUGCAUGUCAAAUAAAGACUAGAUUACGCCCCAAUCCUCAACCACAAGGUAUGGUGGAGAGAGGAAUGGGACGCUUAAGACAAAGAUUAACAAAAUUAAAUUAGAGUACUAAAUUAAAGGACUAAUGCACUACGACUGACACUAAUGAGUUAUCGCAUGAAAACUAACAGAACGACGCAUCUAACCCCGCAUGAAAUGCUUAAGGGUCGACCCAUGCCUUCACUUAACAUUCGAGGGUGCCAAAAGGGACUUCCAUUAGAGUAAUUAGAAAUAGGAUUAAGGAAAAUAUGUUUGAACAUCUAACUGUUGUACAUAAGUUUGUAAUUCCAGCAAGAGAAACACAAAGUUCCAGGGCCAGAGGAGGAGCCAGAUGCAGACACGCCCGGAGCCGACCAACUACCCAAGGAUGAUGCCAUCAGAUUUCGGCAGGGUUACAGUCCCUCAGAUUAGAGUUGGCAGAGAGCUCCGGCAUUAAUGACCCCUUCACAGGAUGGAUGGAGAGCCCAAUGAGCGAUGGGCGCUACAGGUGCAGCAGGUGCCAUCCAAGCUUACCUGGGGAUCGAGUAUACACCGGAGAGUUUGGACGAGGGACCACCAGAGGGGCCCGACCUGAUCUGGCUGGAGAACAUAGAAUAGACCCCCUGCACCAUUGUCCAAGAGCCCCCACGCCAUGCAGCGCACCAAUACAUGAAGAUCCCCUGAUAAUUUUUGUGGUGUUGACUUUCAAUGCAUGCUGAAAGUGUAGGACUUUGCGUCACAUAUAUUUAGAGUUAUUUGUUGUGAUUUUGAUUCUUAUUUUGUUUAUGGUUACACCUAUUUGUAUGCCCUCUUGGAUUUACUUAUUGAUUUACUAUUUGAUUUAUUAUUGCUUUACUAUUUCAUUAUUCAUUUACCAAUCAUUAAUUGUUGACAGUGGUCUGUAUUUCCUGUGCAAACUUUGACUGUGAGUAUGGCCUCCCUCGCCCUGCAACCCCUGACUUUGAGGACGAGCUCCCCUACACACUCCCAACCUACGCCUCCGAAGAGACACUCCCAGACCCCGCCGACGACUGUGUCCCCGCCGAGCCGGACAUCUACCCGUGAGUGCGAGUGGCCUCUCCAGGUGAACGGCCCCGGCGUCCUGUUUCCAUCACCGUCGGCUGACACCCCACCGCAACACCCCUUCCCUCUUCCCCCCCGCCUGUGACGUGCUAGUAACCUCUCCAGGUGGGCUGCCCCAUUCCCGUCCCCGCCAACGGCAUCACCCCCCUCCCACCUGAAGCACCCACGACGCCCGGACCAGGGAUCUGCGUUCCGGUACCAGGGGCUGCGGCCCGCUCCCUUAAGGCUUGAGGGCACCCCUGGCUGUAUUCGCUUAUGUACGCUUCACUGUUUUUAGCCGCUCCCAUAUCUAUGCCCGCGUCUACGCAACCGACGCUGGGAACGUAAAUGUUGUUGUUUAUAUCGCUGUCCCACUAGAUGGAGCUCGGGGAUACACACGGGCGAGAUUCCAGGGGCCUUGAUUGCCCGUUUAUCAGAUGAGGUCCUGAGCGCAGUUGAAUAAAAGGGUCUAAUGCUCAGGUGGCGCCUUGCGACCACCUGCCCAUGAUGACGCUCAGGACUAUUCCAUGGUUUCAGUUGUUCCCGUGCCCCGAGCCUACCCUGGAUGCCCCAUGCGUGUGAUUGCUUGUUGUAACACGACCAGUCAACUCCUCCUCACAUCCUUAGUGUGUGGUCCUCUAGGGAUGGGUUGAGGGGGAUUGCCAUUCGUUAUCCGCCUCAUAUCUUCGCUAUUAUUUAGGGACACGUUUCGUGGUUACAUUUCUUUCCUGUGAUCGUUAGUGUAGUAUUUGUGUGAUUGUUGCAUUUUUAUAUUGUUAUUGUUUACUGUUCGUUUUAUUGUUGCAUUUUUAUAUUGUUAUUGUUUACUGUUCGUUUUAUUGUUGCAUUUUGUUGUUAUGUUUGGAGUUUGUUUUAUUGUUGCAUUUUGUUGUUAUUGUUAUGGUUUGGUGUUGGUUUUGUUAUGUGGCCAGCUUUGUUGUUGGUUGUUGUUUUUUGGUGUUUGUUUUUUGUAUUAUUGUAUGUUUAUGGUAUGUUUUGUGUAUUAUCUGCUACUAUUAUUGUUGGUAUUGUUUGCUCGCAAUGUAGGGCCGGGGUGGAUGCCACCCCCUAGGUGGGGUGUGUAUGGCAUGCCCAUGCCUGAAGCAUGGGUGGCGUUUCUCCCAAGUGGUUCCCCAUACACCCGGUCCAGCGAGCUGUUUUCAUCCCAGGCUCAUGGUUAUUUGUUUUUAUGGUCAUUUGCCUUCUUUCUGUUACUUCUAAUAAUGUUAUAAUGGUAG
ensembl:lncRNA